GGGCUCUAGCUCAGUGAUAGAGCAUCUGCUUUGCUUGCAGAAGGUCUCAGGUUCAAUCCUGGGCAUCCCCA